rnacentral:rRNA from 1 species
AGCGUAGGCGGACAUUUAAGUCAGGGGUGAAAUCCCGGGGCUCGACCUCGGAAUUGCCUUUGAUACUGGGUGCCUUGAGUAUGAGAGAGGUGUGUGGAACUCCGAGUGUAGAGGUGAAAUUCGUAGAUAUUCGGAAGAACACCAGUGGCGAAGGCGACACACUGGCUCAUUACUGACACUGAGGCUCGAAAGCGUGGGGAGCAAACA